rnacentral:rRNA from 1 species
CCUACGGGCGGCAGCAGUGGGGAAUAUUGGACAAUGGGCGAAAGCCUGAUCCAGCCAUGCCGCGUGUGUGAAGAAGGCCUUCGGGUUGUAAAGCACUUUCAGUGGGAAGAAAGACUUGGGGCUAAUACCCUCGAGGAAGGACAUCACCCACAGAAGAAGCACCGGCUAACUCCGUGCCAGCAGCCGCGGUAAUACGGAGGGUGCGAGCGUUAAUCGGAAUUACUGGGCGUAAAGCGCGCGUAGGCGGUCUGAUAAGCCGGUUGUGAAAGCCCCGGGCUCAACCUGGGAACGGCAUCCGGAACUGUCAGGCUAGAGUGCAGGAGAGGAAGGUAGAAUUCCCGGUGUAGCGGUGAAAUGCGUAGAGAUCGGGAGGAAUACCAGUGGCGAAGGCGGCCUUCUGGACUGACACUGACGCUGAGGUGCGAAAGCGUGGGUAGCAAACAGGAUUAGAUACCCUUGUAGUC